GGCAGUGUGAUGUAGUGGUUUGUGUACUGGACUAUGACUCUGGAGACCAGGGUUUGAAUCCCUGCUCAGCCA
rnacentral:tRNA from 1 species